rnacentral:tRNA from 1 species
GUCCCCAUCGUCUAGAGGCCUAGGACGUUACCCUUUCACGGUAAAGACACGGGUUCGAUUCCCGUUGGGGACGCCA